CAGUAGCCGCGGUAAUACGUAGGUGGCAAGCGUUGUCCGGAAUUAUUGGGCGUAAAGGGCUCGCAGGCGGUUUCUUAAGUCUGAUGUGAAAGCCCCCGGCUCAACCGGGGAGGGUCAUUGAAAACUGGGGAACUUGAGUGCAGAAGAGGAGAGUGGAAUUCCACGUGUAGCGGUGAAAUGCGUAGAGAUGUGGAGGAACACCAGUGGCGAAGGCGACUCUCUGGUCUGUAACUGACGCUGAGGAGCGAAAGCGUGGGGAGCGAACAGGAUUAGAUACCCGAGUAGUCCCUGUCUCUUAUAC
rnacentral:rRNA from 1 species